rnacentral:lncRNA from 1 species
UUUACCCCAAGAGUAAGGCAGAUCAUGAGUUCCAUUUGUGGAUUUUACUUAUUAGAACUGUUGCCAUAACUACAUCUGUGGAAAUAAUUUUAUAUGAAAAAAAUAUCGAUUGCAACAUUUAUCAAAUUCCUCAAAAAUAUUUUUACAAGUCUGCCUCAAACCCUUUUCUCUUUGUUCUUUUUUAUUUCUCUCAAACUAUUUUCUCUUUCUUUUAAACACAUAUCUCUAUGGGGAUAUCAACAAGGUGAACUCAUCACCGAUGACCAAUGCUUUCCCCGAAAAAAUCAACAAGGCGAUACCAUCUCCGAAAAAGUUUUUCUCUUUCUCUCUCUUUAUUUAGAAGACAAGACGAAAGAGGACUAAUUUAUGUUUUGAAUCUCCAUCUCAUCUAAUUUCUCUCUUAGUGUUACAGUGCCUGGAUUUAGCUAUUUCAGAUUGAACUUGUUGUUUUAGGAUUUUCUUCAUCAAUUUAGAGUUCUUAAAGUUAGUGUAUUUGGUUGAUUGACAAUUUGAUCUACCUUUUUGUGUUGCUGGACGUCUUCAAUUAGGGAUUUUGUUCUUCUUAGAGACCAUAUUUCUCUAGACAUUUAUGUUGGAUCUCCAUUGCAUGAGUUAUUAAGUUGGGUAUGUGAUCUAAAUUAAUUAGUGUUGUGCUUUUGUAUACUAGUCUACGGUUAUUUCUUCAAUUUCUAUUGGAUUUUCCAUUGCAUGAGCUAUUAAGCUGAGUAACUGAAUUGUGU